UACAGAGGCCUCGAGCGUUAGGCGGAAUCACUGGGCUUAAAGCGUGUGUAGGCGGGCCGUUAAGUGUCUUGUGAAAUCCCCCGGCUCAACCGGGGAAUUGCUGGGCAUACUGGCGGUCUUGAGCAAUCUAGGGGCAGAUGGAACAAGUGGUGGAGCGGUGAAAUGCGUAGAUAUCACUUGGAACGCCAAAGGUGAAGACAGUCUGCUGGGGAUUUGCUGACGCUGAGACACGAAAGCCAGGGGAGCGAACGGG
rnacentral:rRNA from 1 species